UAACAGAGCCACAAUCGUGACUCUCGACCUCCGUCGUCGACUUCCACCACGAAGCCACGACACCUUCAUCUUCGAUCUUCACUGUGUCUAUACAAUCCUCAAGGUUGGUAUCAUGCCAAGGUUGUGUUGGUGCCGUGAAAAGGGUUCUUGGAAAACUUGAAGAUGGAAGAUUGUCUUGUUUCAAGUGGCGGCGUUCUUUU